rnacentral:rRNA from 1 species
GGGUUGUGAGGUUAAGCGACUAAGCGUACACGGUGGAUGCCCUGGCAGUCAGAGGCGAUGAAGGACGUGCUAAUCUGCGAUAAGCGUCGGUAAGGUGAUAUGAACCGUUAUAACCGGCGAUUUCCGAAUGGGGAAACCCAGUGUGUUUCGACACACUAUCAUUAACUGAAUCCAUAGGUUAAUGAGGCGAACCGGGGGAACUGAAACAUCUAAGUACCCCGAGGAAAAGAAAUCAACCGAGAUUCCCCCAGUAGCGGCGAGCGAACGGGGAGCAGCCCAGAGCCUGAAUCAGUGUGUGUGUUAGUGGAAGCGUCUGGAAAGGCGCGCGAUACAGGGUGACAGCCCCGUACACAAAAAUGCACAUACUGUGAGCUCGAUGAGUAGGGCGGGACACGUGGUAUCCUGUCUGAAUAUGGGGGGACCAUCCUCCAAGGCUAAAUACUCCUGACUGACCGAUAGUGAACCAGUACCGUGAGGGAAAGGCGAAAAGAACCCCGGCGAGGGGAGUGAAAAAGAACCUGAAACCGUGUACGUACAAGCAGUGGGAGCACGCUUAGGCGUGUGACUGCGUACCUUUUGUAUAAUGGGUCAGCGACUUAUAUUCUGUAGCAAGGUUAACCGAAUAGGGGAGCCGAAGGGAAACCGAGUCUUAACUGGGCGUUAAGUUGCAGGGUAUAGACCCGAAACCCGGUGAUCUAGCCAUGGGCAGGUUGAAGGUUGGGUAACACUAACUGGAGGACCGAACCGACUAAUGUUGAAAAAUUAGCGGAUGACUUGUGGCUGGGGGUGAAAGGCCAAUCAAACCGGGAGAUAGCUGGUUCUCCCCGAAAGCUAUUUAGGUAGCGCCUCGUGAAUUCAUCUCCGGGGGUAGAGCACUGUUUCGGCAAGGGGGUCAUCCCGACUUACCAACCCGAUGCAAACUGCGAAUACCGGAGAAUGUUAUCACGGGAGACACACGGCGGGUGCUAACGUCCGUCGUGAAGAGGGAAACAACCCAGACCGCCAGCUAAGGUCCCAAAGUCAUGGUUAAGUGGGAAACGAUGUGGGAAGGCCCAGACAGCCAGGAUGUUGGCUUAGAAGCAGCCAUCAUUUAAAGAAAGCGUAAUAGCUCACUGGUCGAGUCGGCCUGCGCGGAAGAUGUAACGGGGCUAAACCAUGCACCGAAGCUGCGGCAGCGACGCUUAUGCGUUGUUGGGUAGGGGAGCGUUCUGUAAGCCUGUGAAGGUGUACUGUGAGGUAUGCUGGAGGUAUCAGAAGUGCGAAUGCUGACAUAAGUAACGAUAAAGCGGGUGAAAAGCCCGCUCGCCGGAAGACCAAGGGUUCCUGUCCAACGUUAAUCGGGGCAGGGUGAGUCGACCCCUAAGGCGAGGCCGAAAGGCGUAGUCGAUGGGAAACAGGUUAAUAUUCCUGUACUUGGUGUUACUGCGAAGGGGGGACGGAGAAGGCUAUGUUGGCCGGGCGACGGUUGUCCCGGUUUAAGCGUGUAGGCUGGUUUUCCAGGCAAAUCCGGAAAAUCAAGGCUGAGGCGUGAUGACGAGGCACUACGGUGCUGAAGCAACAAAUGCCCUGCUUCCAGGAAAAGCCUCUAAGCAUCAGGUAACAUCAAAUCGUACCCCAAACCGACACAGGUGGUCAGGUAGAGAAUACCAAGGCGCUUGAGAGAACUCGGGUGAAGGAACUAGGCAAAAUGGUGCCGUAACUUCGGGAGAAGGCACGCUGAUAUGUAGGUGAAGUCCCUCGCGGAUGGAGCUGAAAUCAGUCGAAGAUACCAGCUGGCUGCAACUGUUUAUUAAAAACACAGCACUGUGCAAACACGAAAGUGGACGUAUACGGUGUGACGCCUGCCCGGUGCCGGAAGGUUAAUUGAUGGGGUUAGCGCAAGCGAAGCUCUUGAUCGAAGCCCCGGUAAACGGCGGCCGUAACUAUAACGGUCCUAAGGUAGCGAAAUUCCUUGUCGGGUAAGUUCCGACCUGCACGAAUGGCGUAAUGAUGGCCAGGCUGUCUCCACCCGAGACUCAGUGAAAUUGAACUCGCUGUGAAGAUGCAGUGUACCCGCGGCAAGACGGAAAGACCCCGUGAACCUUUACUAUAGCUUGACACUGAACAUUGAGCCUUGAUGUGUAGGAUAGGUGGGAGGCUUUGAAGUGUGGACGCCAGUCUGCAUGGAGCCGACCUUGAAAUACCACCCUUUAAUGUUUGAUGUUCUAACGUUGACCCGUAAUCCGGGUUGCGGACAGUGUCUGGUGGGUAGUUUGACUGGGGCGGUCUCCUCCUAAAGAGUAACGGAGGAGCACGAAGGUUGGCUAAUCCUGGUCGGACAUCAGGAGGUUAGUGCAAUGGCAUAAGCCAGCUUGACUGCGAGCGUGACGGCGCGAGCAGGUGCGAAAGCAGGUCAUAGUGAUCCGGUGGUUCUGAAUGGAAGGGCCAUCGCUCAACGGAUAAAAGGUACUCCGGGGAUAACAGGCUGAUACCGCCCAAGAGUUCAUAUCGACGGCGGUGUUUGGCACCUCGAUGUCGGCUCAUCACAUCCUGGGGCUGAAGUAGGUCCCAAGGGUAUGGCUGUUCGCCAUUUAAAGUGGUACGCGAGCUGGGUUUAGAACGUCGUGAGACAGUUCGGUCCCUAUCUGCCGUGGGCGCUGGAGAACUGAGGGGGGCUGCUCCUAGUACGAGAGGACCGGAGUGGACGCAUCACUGGUGUUCGGGUUGUCAUGCCAAUGGCACUGCCCGGUAGCUAAAUGCGGAAGAGAUAAGUGCUGAAAGCAUCUAAGCACGAAACUUGCCCCGAGAUGAGUUCUCCCUGACCCUUUAAGGGUCCUGAAGGAACGUUGAAGACGACGACGUUGAUAGGCCGGGUGUGUAAGCGCAGCGAUGCGUUGAGCUAACCGGUACUAAUGAACCGUGAGGCUUAACCUUACAACGCCGAAGCUGUU